AGAGAUUUCCACAGAAGGACUGGGAUGAUACACCUUUUCCACAGGGAAUUGAGUUGUUUUGUCAGCCUGGCGGGUGGCAGCUGUCCAGAGAGAGGAAGCAGCCAACGUUCUUUGUGGUUGUCCUGACAGAUAUUGACUCAGAUCGACAUUACUGCUCAUGCCUAACCUUCUAUGAGGCAGAGAUCAAUCUUCAGGGAACAAAGAAGGAAGAGAUUGAAGGUGAAGCAGAAGUGUCUGGUUUAAUUCAGCCUGCCGAAGUGUUUGCUCCCAAAAGCCUGGUGUUGGUAUCCAGAUUAUAUUAUCCAGAAAUUUUUAGGGCUUGCCUGGGUUUGAUCUAUACCGUGUAUGUGGACAGCCUGAACGUCUCCUUGGAAAGUCUAAUUGCAAACCUUUGUGCCUGCCUUGUCCCAGCGGCUGGAGGGUCUCAGAAGCUGUUUUCUUUGGGUGCAGGAGAUAGACAGCUGAUCCAGACUCCUUUACAUGAUAGUCUUCCUGUCACGGGCACUAGCGUGGCUCUCCUGUUCCAGCAAUUGGGAAUUCAAAAUGUCCUCAGCCUCUUUUGUGCAGUCCUCACAGAAAAUAAGGUUCUCUUCCAUUCUGCAAGUUUCCAGAGACUUAGCGAUGCUUGUAGAGCCCUGGAAUCUUUAAUGUUUCCUCUUAAAUAUAGUUAUCCUUAUAUCCCUAUUCUCCCGGCUCAGCUACUGGAAGUUCUAAGUUCCCCAACACCUUUCAUUAUUGGAGUACAUUCUAUCUUUAAAACUGAUAUCCAUGAACUUUUAGAUGUAAUCAUAGCAGAUUUGGAUGGAGGCACUAUUAAAAUUCCUGAAUGUAUUCACCUCUCUUCCCUCCCAGAACCACUUCUACAUCAGACUCAAUCAGCUCUUUCUUUGAUUUUACACCCAGAUUUGGAAGUAGCAGAUCAUGCUUUUCCUCCUCCACGAACAGCUUUAUCCCACUCAAAAAUGCUGGAUAAAGAGGUGCGAGCCGUUUUCCUUAGAUUAUUUGCACAACUCUUCCAAGGAUAUAGAUCCUGCCUGCAACUUAUAAGAAUUCAUGCAGAGCCAGUAAUACAUUUCCACAAGACAGCAUUCUUGGGGCAGCGUGGUUUGGUCGAGAAUGAUUUCCUCACUAAAGUACUCAAUGGAAUGGCAUUUGCAGGUUUUGUUUCAGAAAGAGGUCCUCCUUAUAGAUCUUGUGAUCUCUUUGAUGAGUUGGUAGCCUUUGAAGUAGAGAGAAUUAAAGUUGAAGAAAAUAACCCAGUGAAGAUGAUAAAGCAUGUCAGAGAACUUGCUGAGCAACUAUUCAAAAAUGAGAAUCCAAAUCCUCAUAUGGCAUUCCAGAAAGUUCCACGGCCAACAGAAGGAUCCCACUUGCGAGUUCAUAUUCUUCCUUUCCCAAAGAUUAAUGAAGCCCGGGUUCAGGAAUUAAUACAGGAAAAUGUUGCUAAGAACCAGAAUGCACCUCCUGCCACACGAAUAGAAAAGAAAUGUGUUGUGCCAGCAGGUCCACCUGUUGUUUCGAUAAUGGACAAGGUGACGACAGUUUUCAACAGUGCACAAAGACUAGAAGUUGUCAGAAACUGUAUCUCAUUCAUAUUUGAAAAUAAAAUUUUGGAAACUGAAAAGACCCUUCCUGCUGCACUCAGAGCCCUUAAAGGAAAGGCAGCAAGACAGUGUCUCACUGAUGAAUUGGGUUUGCAUGUCCAGCAAAACCGGGCUAUAUUAGACCAUCAACAGUUUGACUACAUAAUAAGGAUGAUGAAUUGUACUCUACAGGAUUGUUCAAGUUUAGAAGAAUACAACAUUGCCGCAGCAUUACUCCCUUUGACUAGUGCUUUCUAUAGGAAACUUGCCCCUGGAGUCAGCCAGUUUGCUUACACAUGUGUACAAGACCACCCCAUUUGGACAAAUCAGCAGUUUUGGGAGACAACCUUUUACAAUGCAGUGCAGGAACAGGUUCGCUCCCUUUAUCUCUCAGCCAAGGAAGACAAUCAUGCCCCGCAUCUGAAGCAAAAGGACAAGCUUCCUGAUGACCAUUAUCAGGAGAAGACAGCAAUGGACCUGGCAGCUGAGCAACUACGCCUUUGGCCUACCCUGAGCAAGUCAACUCAGCAAGAGCUAGUGCAACAUGAGGAAAGCACUGUCUUUAGUCAGGCCAUUCACUUUGCAAACCUCAUGGUGAACCUGCUAGUUCCACUCGACACAAGUAAAAACAAACUCCUAAGAACAUCAGCGCCAGGUGACUGGGAGAGCGGAAGCAACAGCAUUGUCACAAACAGUAUUGCAGGAAGUGUAGCUGAGAGCUAUGAUACAGAGAGUGGGUUUGAAGAUUCAGAGAAUAAUGACAUUGCCAAUUCUGUUGUGCGGUUCAUUACCCGAUUUAUUGACAAAGUUUGUACAGAGAGUGGAGUUACUCAGGAUCACAUCAAGAGCCUUCAUUGCAUGAUACCAGGAAUUGUAGCUAUGCACAUUGAGACCCUAGAAGCAGUACAUCGAGAAAGCAGAAGACUUCCGCCUAUUCAGAAGCCCAAGAUUCUUAGACCUGCUCUGCUGCCGGGAGAAGAAAUUGUCUGUGAGGGUCUUCGAGUCUUGCUGGAUCCUGAUGGAAGAGAAGAAGCUACUGGAGGUCUUCUUGGAGGCCCUCAGCUCCUGCCAGCAGAAGGAGCCUUGUUCCUCACCACAUACAGAAUUCUCUUCAGAGGAACACCCCAUGAUCAGUUAGUGGGUGAGCAGACAGUUGUGCGGAGCUUUCCCAUUGCCUCCAUCACCAAGGAGAAGAAGAUUACAAUGCAGAACCAGCUACAGCAGAACAUGCAAGAAGGACUGCAGAUCACAUCAGCAUCUUUUCAGUUGAUUAAGGUAGCAUUUGAUGAAGAAGUCAGUCCAGAAGUAGUAGAGAUCUUUAAGAAGCAGCUGAUGAAGUUCCGUUAUCCUCAGUCCAUUUUCAGUACCUUUGCUUUUGCUGCUGGACAAACUACCCCACAAAUAAUUUUACCAAAACAGAAGGAAAAGAACACUUCUUUUCGUACCUUCUCAAAAACAAUUGUGAAAGGUGCCAAAAGGGCAGGGAAAAUGACAAUUGGGCGGCAAUAUUUACUGAAGAAGAAGACAGGGACAAUUGUGGAAGAGAGAGUAAAUCGUCCUGGAUGGAAUGAAGAUGAUGAUGUAUCUGUUUCAGAUGAGAGUGAGCUCCCCACAAGUACCACCCUGAAGGCCUCCGAGAAGUCUACAAUGGAACAGUUGGUGGAAAAAGCUUGUUUCAGAGACUAUCAGCGUUUAGGUUUAGGAACCAUAAGUGGCAGCUCUUCUCGUUCAAGACCCGAGUAUUUUCGAAUUACUGCCUCCAACAGGAUGUAUUCACUCUGCCGGAGGUAAGUGUGUCAGUGGGCUCCAAAAAGAGGUCUUCUUUCCUUUCUUCUUAUUUGAAUCUUUAAUAGGCCGUUUGCAUCCAUAGCCCUGAGAUAGAUAAAAAUGCCUGAAAAUAAGAACAAGGUCUCCAGGAUAUGAGCAAGCAUCUCAUGGGCGUUCUCGGAACAAUUACCUUACUGAAAGUACCUCUAGUAGGUGAGAAGGUGAAAGGUAAAGUACUCACCCCCUAUGAAUUUCUCUUGUCUUUCUCUUCCCAGUUUGCUUCUUUUCUAGCAUGACUAAAGAUAACUUGAAGAACAGGAUUUUCCCAGGCCAAUAGAAGACAUGAAAGUUCUUUGUAGGCUGGGGAGCCACAAACUCUUUCUAUAAAGGGUCAGUUGGUAAAUAUUUUCAGUUUAUGAGCCAUAGAGUCUCUUGUUGCAACUAUUCAACUGUGCCGCAAAAGCAGCCACAGACAGUAAGGAAAUGAGUGGACAUGGCCAGUUUUGGCCCACAGGCUAUAAUUUGCUGACCCAGGUGUAGGCAAGGCUUUCUUAUGCGGUCUAAUUGGAAUGUUUUCAAGGGAAUAUUACUUAAAGGAUGUAAAUAAAGAGGCAUUUUUUUUUUCUGUUCUUGUCUCUCACUGUUUUUCAAAUAUGUUAAGGCUUAUUCCAUGCUUUACUAUAUGUAAAUGUAUAUUUUCUAAAAUUACAUUUUCACCAUUCACAAUUUUAGUCAUUUUCAUCUCCAGGUAAGUUUUUUCUUUGCAUUUAUAAAUUCCUGCUUAAACAGCUCGAAAGCACUUUGUAAAUUACAUAUUUUAGAAAGUUAUCUUAAUGUUACUGUUAGUUUCAACCCUGUUGCUCUUAAAGAUAGAUAUGUCAUUUUAAAUGACAGUUUAAGUUUACAAAUAUUAAUAUGAAACUUGAGAAACAAGUUGGGAAUAUAGUUUUGAGAUUAUGGCCAAAUAUUACAUUUUGCAUCAAGUUCUGAAAAAUUGACACUCUGAGUAUGCAGUAAUUUUUCUGGAAUUCUCUGUCAUUCUAACUAAAUUUUCUCUGAAGAUGAGUCAUGUUGUCAGGGUGUGAUGUCCUGCUGUUUGGAAAGUUUGCUAUCAAAAUUAUGCCAGCCAUUGAGAAAACAGACUCAUUUAUCAUUCCAAUCUGUCAGAAGUCAAAUAAAAUUUUAAUAGAUGACUUAUUAGAACACUGGUUAUAAAGCAUUUAUGAUGGUAAAAAGUAAUAUAUAUCCAUUAAGUUAUUAGCAGGAAGGAAAUGGAAUAAUAAAAAAUAAUCCAAAAGAAGGCAAGAAAGGAAAAAAAAGGGGACAUAGAACAAAUGGAAUAAAUAACAAGUAGUAAGAUGGUAGAUUUAAAUUCAAAUAUAUCCAUAAUUGCAUUAAUUAUUAAUUGACAAAUGUUCCAAUUCAAAGAAAGAGAUCAGGGUUUGCUUUAAAAAAAAAAAA
rnacentral:sRNA from 1 species